CUCCGUUCCAAAACGUUUUUCAAGACACAGGAACCGUCCGGUUGAAAUAUUACUGAAUCUUCACGUUCUAAAGGCCCUAAAGAUUGAUGUUUGACAACGUUUGACAUGUUUGAACGAACGAAAAUACACGUUUUUUUUACUUUUCGUCGUGACAUUGUCCGCACGCUUCCUACAUUUGGAGUAGCUGAACUGAACGCACAAACAACAAGGAGUUAUUUGGACAUAAAUUAUGAACUUUAUCGAACAAAACAACAUUUGUUGUGGACCUGGGAUUCCUGGAUGUGCCUUCUGAUGAAGAUCAUCAAAGGUAUCUUGAAGUAAAAAAUAAAGGAAAACCUCAGUGUGAACCUGAAGAUGGAAUACUGCACUACCUGCCUC
rnacentral:lncRNA from 1 species